AUGUUAGAAAAGCACAGAGAUCUUUUUUGGCACUGGUUCAGGGAUUCGGAGAUUUACAAUGGAUGGUGUAUAUGGAGAAAGAUAAUGUCUGUUGAGAAAUGAGCUGGUGAGAACUCCGGGUGUCACAGGACCCAGGCCAUCUGCACAAUCUCUCAGAGGAAGACAGUCUCUCAGACGCUCAGUUCUCUGGCACACACAGUUCCUGCUCAAGUUCCUGCCAGGAUUUGCCUCAACAUGGACUGUGACCUGGAAGAUGACAGCUGGCUAAGGACAGCUGUGUGAAGAAGAGGGCCCAGGAGAGCAGUGAGAAGUAUGCAGAACAAGAACUCCAGCACAGAUCAGAGGGAUGCUCUCAUGAGAACUCUGCCCAUCAGCAGGCUGGCAUAUGAGAGAAUAUUCAGAAGAGAAAGAGGAAGACGAGGGAAAUGAUUUGAAGAGCAGACGGUGUGAAGGGCAGACGGCAGCUUGAAGUAUCCCCAUUAGACAAUCCCACAUAGUGUGAGCUCAGUUCUGCUACUGAUGCUGUAACGGAGAGCUGAGUGCCACACACUAAAAAUGAGGAAAAUGACACCACAGACACAGGCCAAAUCAUCCAAGGCAUGCUCAUACUCAUUAUCACUAAGGUGUUGUAUUUCUUGAUUUGGAAGCUCCAAGAAAUAUGCAGACAUAUAGCCAUAUCAUCAAGACUACACUGGAGUGAAUUGCAGUGAUUUAAAAUGUGAGAUUCUGAUUUUAGAAUUCACUCAAUUUCCUUAUUUAAAUUCAGUGUCCCUGAAUUGCUUAUGAAGUGAACAACAUGAAGAAUGCCUGUUUAUAAAUGCCAUUUUAAGGAAAAUCAAUAACCAUUAUACGGUUUCUGCUAUCCUUGGCUCUCUGAGAUGAUAUGAAUCUAUUCAUAUAGCAGGUGUUGUGUGAAUCUAAACCUCUGGGGAGGGGAUUAAAUAAAAAAAAUUUCCGAAUCUGAACCAAAUAAGAGAAAAUGAUAUCACUUCUACAAUACAGAAGCCUUUUAUAACACUACUUCCCCAUCAUUUCUUCAGUUUGGCUGUAAGUUGGGUACUACCUAUAGACAAUGAUCUUAUAACAUCCACUGAAUGCAUUACAAGCAGUAAAGCCCAUGUUAUGUGCUACACACAGCACCAAAUUAGAAAGGUGUAAUUUCUGAUGUCUUGGAGGGUGGGCUACAGUGGGGCACAGAGACAAACAGGAGCACAAACAUGUAGACUCGCUGAAGCAAGCAGGAAAACAAGAGGCUUCGUGGGUCACAGUCUCUAGAAGAUCAGACUAAUAAAAGGAAUACAGUUAAAGGGGAUUUGAUGGGUUAUCUUGCUCGGUGUGGUCUGAAUAAGUCAACCAGGGCUAGCUUACACCAGGGAAGCCAGG
rnacentral:lncRNA from 1 species